AGAGUUUGAUCCUGGCUCAGGAUGAACGCUGGCGGCGUGCCUAAUACAUGCAAGUCGAGCGAACAGAUAAGGAGCUUGCUCCUUUGACGUUAGCGGCGGACGGGUGAGUAACACGUGGGUAACCUACCUAUAAGGCUGGAAUAACUCCGGGAAACCGGGGCUAAUGCCGGAUAAUAUUUAGAACCGCAUGGUUCUAAAGUGAAAGAUGGUUUUGCUAUCACUUAUAGAUGGACCCGCGCCGUAUUAGCUAGUUGGUGGGGUAAUGGCUUACCAAGGCAACGAUACGUAGCCGACCUGAGAGGGUGAUCGGCCACACUGGAACUGAGACACGGUCCAGACUCCUACGGGAGGCAGCAGUAGGGAAUCUUCCGCAAUGGGCGAAAGCCUGACGGAGCAACGCCGCGUGAGUGAUGAAGGUCUUCGGAUCGUAAAACUCUGUUAUUAGGGAAGAACAAAUGUGUAAGUAACUGUGCACGUCUUGACGGUACCUAAUCAGAAAGCCACGGCUAACUACGCG
rnacentral:rRNA from 1 species